AUAGGGGAGCCGUAGAGAAAUCGAGUCUUAAUAGGGCGUUUAGUUGCUGGGUAUAGACCCGAAACCAGGCGAUCUAUCCAUGAGCAGGUUGAAGGUUGGGUAACACUAACUGGAGGACCGAACCCACUGUCGUUGAAAAGCCAGGGGAUGACUUGUGGAUAGGGGUGAAAGGCUAAUCAAGCCUGGUGAUAGCUGGUUCUCCCCGAAAGCUAUUUAGGUAGCGCCUCGGACGAAUACCAUUGGGGGUAGAGCACUGUUUCGGCUAGGGGGUCAUCCCGACUUACCAAACCGAUGCAAACUCCGAAUACCAAUGAGUACUAUCCGGGAGACAGACUGCGGGUGCUAACGUCCGUAGUCAAGAGGAAAACAAUCCAGACCGCCAGCUAAGGCCCCAAAAUCAUAGUUAAGUGGGAAACGAUGUGGGAAGGCAUAGACAGCUAGGAGGUUGGCUUAGAAGCAGCCACCCUUUAAAGAAAGCGUAAUAGCUCACUAGUCGAGUCGGCCUGCGCGGAAGAUGUAACGGGGCUAAAACUAUGUGCCGAAGCUGCGGAUUUGACUUUAAGUCAAGUGGUAGGGGAGCGUUCUGUAAGCCGAUGAAGGUGUAUUGAGAAGUAUGCUGGAGGUAUCAGAAGUGCGAAUGCUGACGUGAGUAACGACAAAACGGGUGAAAAACCCGUUCGCUGAAAGACCAAGGGUUCCAGUCCAACGUUAAUCGGGGCUGGGUGAGUCGACCCCUAAGGCGAGGCCGAGAGGCGUAGUCGAUGGGAAAUUGGUUAAUAUUCCAAUACUUCUGUGUAAUGCGAUGAGAGGACGGAGAAGGUUAAGUCAGCCUGGCGUUGGUUGUCCAGGUGGAAGGCAGUAGGCAUGCAUCUUAGGCAAAUCCGGGGUGCUCUAUGCUGAGAGCUGAUAGCAAGCUGUACUUGUACAGUGAAGUGGCUGAUACCAUGCUUCCAGGAAAAGUCUCUAAGCUUCAGUUACACAGGAAUCGUACCCGAAACCGACACAGGUGGUCAGGUCGAGUAGACCAAAGCGCUUGAGAGAACUCUGCUGAAGGAACUAGGCAAAAUGGUACCGUAACUUCGGGAGAAGGUACGCUGCUGACGGUGAUGGGACUUGCUCCCUGAGCUAUUGGCAGCCACAGAAACCAGGCCGCUGCAACUGUUUAUUAAAAACAUAGCACUCUGCAAACACGAAAGUGGACGUAUAGGGUGUGAUGCCUGCCCGGUGCUGGAAGGUUAAUUGAUGGGGUUAGCGUAAGCGAAGCUCUUGAUCGAAGCCCCAGUAAACGGCGGCCGUAACUAUAACGGUCCUAAGGUAGCGAAAUUCCUUGUCGGGUAAGUUCCGACCUGCACGAAUGGCAUAAUGAUGGCGGCGCUGUCUCCAGCAGAGGCUCAGUGAAAUCGAAAUCGCUGUGAAGAUGCAGUGUACCCGCGGCUAGACGGAAAGACCCCGUGAACCUUUACUGCAGCUUGACAUUGAACUUUGACCUUACUUGUGUAGGAUAGGUGGGAGGCUUUGAAGUUAGAACGCUAGUUCUAAUGGAGCCGUCCUUGAAAUACCACCCUGGUAAUGUUGAGGUUCUAACUCUGCCCCGUAAUCCGGGGCGAGGACCAUGUCUGGUGGGUAGUUUGACUGGGGCGGUCUCCUCCUAAAGAGUAACGGAGGAGUACGAAGGUGCGCUCAGCGUGGUCGGAAAUCACGCGUAGAGUAUAAAGGCAAAAGCGCGCUUAACUGCGAGACCCACAAGUCGAGCAGGUACGAAAGUAGGUCUUAGUGAUCCGGUGGUUCUGUAUGGAAGGGCCAUCGCUCAACGGAUAAAAGGUACUCUGGGGAUAACAGGCUGAUACCGCCCAAGAGUUCAUAUCGACGGCGGUGUUUGGCACCUCGAUGUCGGCUCAUCUCAUCCUGGGGCUGAAGCAGGUCCCAAGGGUAUGGCUGUUCGCCAUUUAAAGAGGUACGCGAGCUGGGUUUAGAACGUCGUGAGACAGUUCGGUCCCUAUCUACCGUGGGCGCUGGAAAUUUGAGAGGAUCUGCUCCUAGUACGAGAGGACCAGAGUGGACGAACCUCUGGUGUACCGGUUGUGACGCCAGUCGCAUCGCCGGGUAGCUAUGUUCGGAAGGGAUAACCGCUGAAAGCAUCUAAGCGGGAAGCCUACCUCAAGAUAAGAUUUCCCUAGGAAUUUAUUCCUCUAAAGAGCCGUUCGAGACUAGGACGUUGAUAGGUUGGGUGUGGAAGCACGGUGACGUGUGAAGCUGACCAAUACUAAUUGCUCGUGAGGCUUGACUAU
rnacentral:rRNA from 1 species